rnacentral:rRNA from 1 species
CCUACGGGAGACUGCAGUGGGGGAUAUUGCACAAUGGGGGAAACCCUGAUCCAGCGACGCCGCGUGAGUGAAGAAGUAUUUCGGUAUGUAAAGCUCUGUCAGCAGGGAAGAAAGCAAUGACGGUACCUGACCAAGAAGCCCCGGCUAACUACGUGCCAGCAGCCGCGGUAAUACGUAGGGGGCAAGCGUUAUCCGGAAUUACUGGGUGUAAAGGGAGCGUAGACGGUGAUGCAAGUCUGAAGUGAAAGGCGGGGGCUCAACCCCCGGACUGCUCUGGAAACUGUGUAACUUGAGUGCAGGAGAGGUAAGCGGAAUUCCUAGUGUAGCGGUGAAAUGCGUAGAUAUGAGGAGGAACACCAGUGGCGAAGGCGGCUUACUGGACUGUAACUGACGUUGAGGCUCGAAAGCGUGGGGAGCAAACAGGAUUAGAUACCCCAGUAGUC